rnacentral:rRNA from 1 species
UGGGGAAUAUUGGACAAUGGGCGAAAGCCUGAUCCAGCCAUGCCGCGUGUGUGAAGAAGGUCUUCGGAUUGUAAAGCACUUUAAGUUGGGAGGAAGGGCAUUAACCUAAUACGUUAGUGUUUUGACGUUACCGACAGAAUAAGCACCGGCUAACUCUGUGCCAGCAGCCGGGUAAUACAGAGGGUGCAAGCGUUAAUCGGAAUUACUGGGCGUAAAGCGCGCGUAGGUGGUUUGUUAAGUUGGAUGUGAAAGCCCCGGGCUCAACCUGGGAACUGCAUCCAAAACUGGCAAGCUAGAGUACGGUAGAGGGUGGUGGAAUUUCCUGUGUAGCGGUGAAAUGCGUAGAUAUAGGAAGGAACACCAGUGGCGAAGGCGACCACCUGGACUGAUACUGACACUGAGGUGCGAAAGCGUGGGGAGCAAACA